UGGUAGUGCGGUAGGUCUGUUUACACCAGCGUCACCGCAAACACGUGAACAAUGCACUGCACUGUGACAUCACAAGGGCUACAGUGUCGCUAGGCAAUGGGAAAUUUUUAGGUCCAUUGUAAUCUUAUGGGACCACCAUCAUGUAGGUUGUCCAUUGUUGGCCAAAUUGCCCUUAUGUGGUACAUGGCCGAUGAAAUGGAACCUGGGAAAUCUCAGCCUACCUCAAAGGAGAGGGUCAUACCUUCCCCUUGUCACUGGAGGCAUUGAGGGAUGCAGAAGUUCCACUGUGCAUGCUAAAUCGUGAGGUCAGAAGAGCAGGCUCGGCUUGGUACUGUUCCCAGCUCCUGUUGCUGUAUUUUGAACACACUAGUGCCCUUGAGCCUAGCAUCGCACCCAGGAAUCUAUUCCAGAAAAAGCCCAACCUACAACUGCAUGAGGCUUUGGGGGAACAACAAGAC
rnacentral:lncRNA from 1 species